rnacentral:rRNA from 1 species
UACAGAGGUCUCAAGCGUUGUUCGGAUUCAUUGGGCGUAAAGGGUGCGCAGGCGGCGCGGUAAGUCGGGUGUGAAAUCUCGGAGCUUAACUCCGAAACUGCAUUCGAUACUGCCGUGCUUGAGGACUGGAGAGGAGACUGGAAUUUACGGUGUAGCGGUGAAAUGCGUAGAUAUCGUAAGGAAGACCAGUGGCGAAGGCGGGUCUCUGGACAGUUCCUGACGCUGAGGCACGAAGGCCAGGGGAGCAAACGGG